UUUCAAACGCACGUGUAUCUCUGUUUACCUCUCCCUAUCCAUCUUCCCAAACCCUAAUCCCAUUCGUCAACCACAAUAUUUGCAGGUUUUUCUCUCCCACUCUACUCAUUUGAGUCUAUCAGCCUAGCUACAUAUCACAACAAAAACAAGCAAGCGUUUAAACAUCCAGUGAGAAUGAAUCACCCCCAUGACAUCUACACAUAAUAAACGAAAACCCCAUCUUCCUGCCGCCGCGUCUACCCCUUUUUACGAACCACUGCCACCUCCGCAACCACAACGACAUCGAUGAGAUGGGAUGAACUGAAACCUGAUUUCAACCAAGAGCAAGAGCCCGAACAACAAGAAACUAUAUAUCUCGAAAUCAAUACCCUAUCUCUCAUUUCUAAACCCAAGGAUUAUUAUCAAAUCAUCGAGGUGGAAUAUGAAGCUGCUAAAGAGGAAAUUUGAUCGAUUUAUAUUUGAUUAGCUCUGGUCUUCUUUCAGUGUUUGUAUUAUUGAUCUUAUUGUUAGGAGCCUAUCCUAUCAUCUUUAUUAGAAUGGCAUCCAGACAAGAAGAAAGGCGAGGAUCGGGCGUACCAAGAUUACCCAUGUUUUGAUCACAAUCCGCUGAUAACAGUCGGUUCCUACAUGCAAUCUACUGUGAUAGUGAUCUUGAGCGCAACAUCAAGUACAUUACCCUUCUUUACCGUUAGAUCAUUCAAGAUUUCAACCAAAGUUGGAUCUGUAGUUCUGCACUCAAUGGCUUCUACUGAAUGAACAAAAUGUGAGUUUGAAAGUUUAAUGCUAAUUAGAAGUUUAGAGCAAUGCCAGUUUAGAAGUUUAGUGCUUAUUGCAUCAAAGAAAUUCAUAACUCGAGCAGUUAUAGAAGCAGUUGGUUCAUGCCUUACUAACAAAUAUUUGAAGGACUUCCUGGCCAAAGAUGAAAAUUGUCGUUAUAAUUUAUGAAUUUUCAUCUAUACUAUAUAUAAUUUGCAUAUAGGAAAUUUGGAGUAGAAAUGCCUGCCGUAGAUGGCUACCGAAAGGGUGGAAUGGGAUCAGCUGCAAGGCCUAUCGAGUAUGCAAUCGAUCAACAAUGUCAGCGGUGUUUGGCAGUGGAAAACGGGGGCAGGAAUGUAGACCUCUCUCUGUCAAGUAGGUCAGAAUGGAUCUUGAAGAAGCCAUUAAUCCGGGUGAUCACCCAAACCAGUUUACUUGGAGUAAGAUAGCCGUCCCGAAGGUGAACUACUUUGCACGAAGGGCUGUUAGUGGCAAGAUCCCGACUGCGACAACGUUAGUGUCGUGAAAUGUGGUUUUUGGUGAUGUUUUAUGUUCUUUGUGCGGAAUAAUCUACGAGUGUGCAGAUCAUCUAUUGGUGCCGUGUAUUUUUGCUAAAUAUGUCUGGUGGAUGGUUUGUGUCUGGGUGAGAAUUCCGAAUCCCGAGGGAGUUCUCGGUGGCUCAACAUAUGUCCUACUGUCAAGGAUUAGAUCUUCCUGAGUGAAAGAAUCGGGCCGUGUAUGCCAUCUUUCUCAUGACCUUUUGGAGACUUUGGAAUAGGCGCAACGAGAAGGUUUUUAGGCUGAAAAAACACUUCAAAUGGUUAAAAGGUAUAAAAUGGUUGCUGGAGACCUGGAAAAAUGGAACAGUUGAUAGGCUGGAGAUGACUGCAGCUACAUUGCAUUGAAUUUUAUGUUGUAUUGUUUGUAUUUUUUUUCUUCUAUUUGGUUCCCCUUAGCAGCUUGCUAAGUCUUAUAGUCUCUCUUUUGUGGUAAUAAAGUUUCUUCUUGGCUGGCCAUAAAAUGUAAAUUCAAAUUCUACAUGUCUUAACAACUUUUGCAUGA